UACGAAGGGGGCUAGCGUUGCUCGGAAUCACUGGGCGUAAAGCGCACGUAGGCGGCUUUCUAAGUCAGGGGUGAAAUCCUGGAGCUCAACUCCAGAACUGCCUUUGAUACUGGAGAGCUUGAGUCCGGAAGAGGUGAGUGGAACUCCGAGUGUAGAGGUGAAAUUCGUAGAUAUUCGGAAGAACACCAGUGGCGAAGGCGGCUCACUGGUCCGGUACUGACGCUGAGGUGCGAAAGCGUGGGAGCAACAGG
rnacentral:rRNA from 1 species